CAAGGCAAGCAGGCACGUAACCGCUUGGAGACUGUCUGGAGUCUGUCUGAAAUUGAUAAAAUUGGAGAUGGAGUUUUACACCUCUUUUGCUCAUUUGCAAGAAAGCUGCCCGUUGGAAAUGGGAAUUUUUGCUCUCCUCUUCUAACGCCUUCGCCUAUGAGCCGCCACGCUCAGCCAAAAAUAUUUUUUCAGAUAAAUGGUGUGAAAGUUUUUUCUUCUGCAGUCUAUCAGGAGACAUUUCUUUAUGCACAGGGGAUCAACCCUCAGCCCUGGAGUUCAAGAGGAGUGCACCAUCCAGAAGGCAGCAUGCACCAGUACAAGGCCUGUCCCAAACCUGAUCCAGUGUCUGAGAAAAAAUGAUUGGAAUUGCAGUUAGAAAGGAGAUCCAUGGUUUCUUGCCACCUGCCAUGCCUUCAUGUCUUCAACGCUGGAGUGUGUCUGCUCAAAUGUUCAUCUGACACCGAUGACACCUCAGAGGGAGGACUGAUUUUUUUAUUUUUUUAUUUUUUAUUUUAUUUGUGACAUAUUCUAACACCAAGGAAGAUUUGCUGUUUUUGGUUCAUGAGUGUUUUUUGAUUUUGAUACAUUUUGGGACGUUUUAUUUCUCAUGCACAGUCUGGCUGCCACUUCAGAACAACUCUAUUGCACAGCCUUCCAUAUCCAGGCUGCAGUGAGGAGAAUUUUAAGUGUAGAGAGUUGGUGGUGGACUAGGAGGAAGAUGUCAUACUAAGGAUGGGUUUUGGUGAUGAUGUUGCUGCUGUUGAUGCAGCAUCGAGCUCUUACUUUGUGCCUCUGUCAGCUAUGAUGCGUAACCACAAAGUGAGUGACAGGCCAGCCCCUGGGGAGAGCAAGGGGCCUGAGGACGCCACCGGGCAGCAGGGAUGGCUCAGCCGCUUCUCCGCUGGCGUUGGAACCGGGGCUGCGCGAUUGUCUCACACGUCACCAGCGCUCAGUACUAUGGAGUACUACAAAAGGUGACGCGCAGAAGGAGGAUUUGUGAAUGGACGCCGUGAUGUGUGCCAGCUCACAGAUCAGAGGGCGGUGGGACCUCUGCAGAUGCACCCUGAGCCCCACUCUCUCCACCCCCCCACACCCCUCUCCCUCCCUCCCCGGUCACCAUCCCUCCCUCCAGAUGAAUGGGGGUCUCUAAGAUAUCAGCUCUGUCACCAUGCAGGGGUCGGACCAAAUCCUCCAGCUUCCUGUGCCUUUCAAAACCUGAAAGCACGUCUCUCCUAUUUGAUGAUCCUGUAUGAUUUUUUUUGUUGUGCUUUUUGUGGGCCUGGGAGCUCGCUGCCCUCCCGUUUUUCAUCCCGGGUCAGCCAAGAGCAUGGCAGCCGAAUUAGCAAAGAUUAGAAGCGGGCCUAAUUGCAUGUAGUCUGCACUGCGAAAAAAAAAAAAGUCAAUCAGUUCAGAAAUGCAGUUCAUCUCAAAUGAAUUUUGGGAUUUGAGGAGGGGAGUUCCACCUGUUUCCAACGCCUCAUUGUUUGCCAGGAAUUUUCCAGAAACAGGAAUUUUCUUGCCAGUGCUCAAAUAUGGCAGAAGACAAGGAACCUAUGUGAAAAAGGGAAACACAAAUAACAUUAUUUUUUUAAACUCCCAAACUCCCUCCUAAUCUUCUAAAAGUCUCAUAACAUGAUACAUAACUUUCAGUUUGGAUUUUUAUUUUGAAGAAAAACAUGUAGUGAGAUAGUGCUUCACGAAGUCUGUUUGUCUCCUUCAUUUAUUUUGUUUCUAUUCACCAUCCAGGUGUUUGAUCCUUCACUCCACUAUUUAUUCAUCACGUAGAUGAUGUCUAUAUAAUUUCUCCGCGGUGUGAAUGUGUUUACAGAGAAAUCCUCUGCAGUAGCAGCGGACUUUCAGGCUGCAGAAUCUUCUGGUUUCAGCCCUUUAUAGGUUUUAAUAACUCUUAAUCCGUCUGAUCGGUCUGGCGUAGAUAAGUCUCAUUUGAAUUGGGAUUGUUCUUAAGGAGAAGAAGUCUCAAACAGAGCUUAGCACAAACAAGUGCACCACCCUGAGCGCAAUUAAGGCCUCAGUUAAAUUACAUGAAGGCUAAUUGAAUGCAGUUGAGUUCCCAUCAGCCAGCUCUUGAAUGCUCCACUAAUAUGAGGAAAAUGUUCAAUUGAACCAGCCAUAAAAAAAAAACAAAAAAAAGUUUUUGAAGAGUGUUUAUUUUCUGUAAAAUGUCAAAGAAGUAUUUUUCUCACAAGCGUAAAGCAGCAGCACUCCACUUUUAAUUUCCAUUGUUUUACAAAACGGCUUUUUUUUCUUUUUCUUUUUUUUAAGUUUUCUCUAUCGUCUGUAAGAGACACAAGACUAAGCGGAACAAAGUUUUUUUUGCAGCUGUUGAGUUGGAUACACGCUUAUAAACAAGUCCCAUGUAGAACCAGCUGAAAAGAAGAAUGUACAUUGUGGCAAGUUAAAAAAUUAACACUGAUUUCUGGUCUUUUGCCGAAAUCUCCCGGGAUGGAAAAUAUACUUUUAACAAAGUUAGUGAUUAGAGUUGAAAUCCUUAUCAUGAGGAGUCAGUUUUCACGUCCUCAAUCUCUUAAUGCCAAUAUAAUGGAAGCUGAAAUCGCAUGACUGACUAAAAAUAAAGGCAACAAUAGCUAUAGGCUACAUACACUACCCUGAAAGAAACUAGAGAGUUAAGAUAGAGAAUAUAACUCCAACAAUAAAACGGAAGUCGUAUCCUACAGUUGUGUUAGGCAGUUCUUUUAAAACCUUAGCCUAUUUGUUUCAUUUUGAAAUUUAAAAAAUGAAAGGUAGAGGAGAAACCAGGCUUGUGAUUCAGAGUGUGACUCUAAGGCCCAGCGACAGUGGACAUGAAGGGUUAGAAGAAUAAAGAGCGCGCACACAAGAUGACAUAUGGUGAAUCCAUCGUGUUUAUGGGGUGUUGCAUUCUUACUCCCAUGUCUAAUUAAAAGUGUGAAAGUUUUUUUUUCUCUCUCUCUUUAAUGAAGCCUCGAGGUUUCGUUCACAGACACUGUUAAAAGUAGGGAAAAUUGUGUAUCCGUUGUCUCCGUGAUACUCAACUGGUGUCAGGAGCAGCGUUUCCCAGCUGGCCUGUGAGACUGUUCACAUGUCGGGACGUCUUACUUGUGACAGCAAAGAAUGAACUGCACGUGGUGGCUAUUUCCGUAAGGUUAAUGGGUUUACAUUCUCAGUCAUACAGAACAAAUAGGCUACCAUGCAACAUGGAGGGGGAGGGGAAGGGGGGGGAGUGAGGAGAUCGAGAUGGGGUGCAUUUAUGAAUGGAAAUGUGUCGCUAAACAGACUCAGAAAAAAACAGCAUAAGGUAAAAGACUCCACAGUCUACCUGGUGCCACCCCACCCCACCCCACCCCCCACCCACACACAUACACUCAUACACACAAAAACACACAAUUCACUCAGCUCAGCUCGGAGGCCCCCUAAAGUUUUUUGGGCCCUCGAUGCUCCUGUGUGGUGUCACCCAAGAUGCUUCACGGGUUUUGGAUCGUCCACAUGCCCCUCGUGCACCUGUCUGGCGUUUUCUGAGGAGGGAGGAACAAGUGGAAGGGAGACAGGUGGGAGGCACUUGCUGCUGCGGAGCGAGCUUCAGCGUUUGCUCUGUGGGAGCAGGUUUCAUUGUGCUGGCAGUGCAGUUCAGUAUCUGGUCAGGUCGUCAUAAUGAAGUGGAACAGAAUUAUGAUUUGAGUUGUAAUUAUUUUAAAGAUGUUCCCAUGAAAAAUCAAAAGGCGGAAGAAGCUCUGUUUGCAAUCACUACAUCUCAUCUGAAGUGCAUGUUAAACUCCAUUAGUUGAUGCUUCAGUAAAAACAUUUUCCAAAUUUUAUUCAUCUUCAAUUUAAGAUACUCUUGAAGCAGAUCCAACCCCACAACCUGUGGCCUAUGUCAGUGGAUUUUUAUGUGAUCAAAACAUCAAAUCAACAAGCCAGAUGGAAUCUAACCACAAGCAGAUGGUUUUAAAAGUUACACAUUUAAUGAAAGUGGUUAAAAAAAAAUAAUUAAAAACCUAAAACAGCA